GGGCUAAACCUAAUGUGGUUUUUGUUUGAGGCGAAACCAACGUUUUGUUGAUCCCGUAGCAUCGAACGGAAACUAGCACCUUAUAACAGAUUACACCUGGUUAAUUAACUAGCUCAAAAGUAUUAUCAUACCUGUCCCAAAUAUCCAUAUAGCACGAGAAUUCAGGAACAUAGUGAAGGCACUGAAGCAAAAUCCGUUUAUUGUUUAUAACACGACGGUAACCAAGAGUUAUCGGUAACUAUAGACGAAUAACCAAGGGCGUAACACUCUUUUAUAAAAAUAUUUCACGUGGUGUUAUAUUUUUUAUAUCUCUCUAUAUUUAUUUAUAAUUGUCUAUAAAAGUUAUAACUGUAUUCGAAUCGUUGAAAGUUCGAAAAUAAAAUUCGAACACCCGUUACCAUAGUAGCCUUAGUUACCGCGAGUGAUUAUAAACAAUGAAAAAAAUGGUGUUGCAUCAACAAGAAGUGCUCUGUCUUAACACCGAUAGUGAUUAAGCCAUCCCAACGGAAACAAACAGCCACAAUUCCAGCGUUUUUCACCAACAUUUCACAGCAGCACCACAAAUUAGGAUUUUCCAUCAUCCGACUGGUCGGUAGCAAUAACGAUGAAGCGAUGCUUCUGCCAAAGGGUUUGACUCCAAUUCAACAGCCGCAACUAGUGCAAAUUCACAGGUGCAAACGAUGCAAGCCAAUCAGGAUCAAGUGCAGAUGACCAUUCGUCGCAGGAACAACCACAAACUAGAAUUAUCAUCACCCAGAUUCCGUAGUAGAUACAGCAACGGCACCUUCAGGUACAACAGCAGUAUACAAUACAGUCCCAAGCAGCAAAAACAUCACAAUCAGGAGGAACCACUGCAGCAGCCGCAACAAGAUUGAAUUGGCCACAAAUCGAUCAACAGCAGUAACGGAACAUACCCGGUCAACCGUAAACACAACAGCAAGGUACUCGGCGGAAGGGAUUUCUGUAUUUGUGCGUGUGUAUGACUCGUUUUUGAAAAAAGCGCUUUCCUUCGAUUCUCUGGCACGCUACCGGGGAAAUCCAUUACCAUUAAGUUGAACGAGAACCAGGAAUGAGUCCUUCGGGGAGACGACGCGUAAUGGUUAAUGUUGGUGGAAUUGCAGAUCACGCUCUGAAAAUAUCGUAAACUAUAUCCCCCUCAGCAGCACGCAACCCCGACACGAAAGGUGGUACGCAAAGCCCCUGAAAACAACGACAGCCCGUUAAUAUUUAGCAUAGCAUAAAAAGCCUAGUAGUUAGAAGAUAGAUGGCACAUAAUAGCAAGUCAGUCCCAUGUUCUGUACUAUCGCUAUACGCAUAACUGUUCCAUGUGCUAUGGAAUUUUCGAUGCACAUAACAUUAACCUUUAAACGCAUGACUCAUUUUCAUUGGUAUUCAUUUUUCGGUAUGGAUGCGAUAUUUACCUCUUGUUGAGGCUUAAUAUCACAGAAUUCGGUAUGUUGCCAAAUGACAACAGUAUGCAUUUAAGGGUUCAGUAAAAAAAACAUCAAGAAAAUGAGAUAACAAUCAAUAGUCCUUACCGUUGUCGUAAUUUGCUGUAACUGAUGACGUUUGCAGCAUUACGUAACCAACAAAGUAGUGUUUAGCCUAGAAAAGUCCCUCAAUCUUUCACACAGAA